rnacentral:rRNA from 1 species
UACGUAGGGUGCAAGCGUUAAUCGGAAUUACUGGGCGUAAAGCGUGCGCAGGCGGUUUUGUAAGUCUGAUGUGAAAUCCCCGGGCUCAACCUGGGAAUUGCAUUGGAGACUGCAAGGCUAGAAUCUGGCAGAGGGGGGUAGAAUUCCACGUGUAGCAGUGAAAUGCGUAGAGAUGUGGAGGAACACCGAUGGCGAAGGCAGCCCCCUGGGUCAAGAUUGACGCUCAUGCACGAAA